rnacentral:rRNA from 1 species
UACGGAGGGGCGAGCGUUAUUCGGAAUUAUUGGGCGUAAAGGGCGCGUAGGCGGCUGUACGAAGUCAAAGGUGAAAUCCCUCGGCUACAACUGAGGAACUGCCUUUGAAACUGUACGGCUUGAGGCCGGGAGGGGGUAGCGGAAUUCCCAAGUGUAGCGGUGAAAUGCGUAGAUACUGGGAGGAACACCAGUGGCGAAGGCGGCUACCUGGACCGGUUCUGACGCUGAGGCGCGAAGGCGUGGGGAGCGAACGGG